rnacentral:rRNA from 1 species
GACGAACGCUGGCGGCGUGCCUAAUACAUGCAAGUAGAACGCUGAAGGAGGAGCUUGCUUCUCUGGAUGAGUUGUGAACGGGUGAGUAACGCGUAGGUAACCUGCCUGGUAGCGGGGGAUAACUAUUGGAAACGAUAGCUAAUACCGCAUAAGAGUAGAUGUUGCAUGACAUUUGCUUAAAAGGUGCAAUUGCAUCACUACCAGAUGGACCUGCGUUGUAUUAGCUAGUUGGUGAGGUAACGGCUCACCAAGGCAACGAUACAUAGCCGACCUGAGAGGGUGAUCGGCCACACUGGGACUGAGACACGGCCCAGACUCCUACGGGAGGCAGCAGUAGGGAAUCUUCGGCAAUGGACGGAAGUCUGACCGAGCAACGCCGCGUGAGUGAAGAAGGUUUUCGGAUCGUAAGCUCUGUUGUAAGAGAAGAACGAGUGUGAGAGUGGAAAGUUCACACUGUGACGGUAUCUUACCAGAAAGGGACGGCUAACUACGUG